rnacentral:lncRNA from 13 species
AUGUGCAGGCAGCGGCUUUUGAAAGCCUGGUGGCGGGCAGGGCUUCUGUGCACGAAGGGAAGGCGAGCCUCGUUCCAGAGAGGCACAGCUGGAGCUGCGGCACCUGGCGUGCUUAGGCAGGACAGCCUGGCCUGGGAGGCGAGUGCCAGGUGUGGGGGUGUCAGUCGUGUGUCUGUGUGGGACCCGCAUCUGUGCAUCUGUGCCGUGGUUGUGUGUCUGUGUGGGCCCCAGGUGUGUGCAUCCGUGUGGGCCCCGGGUCCCUGGGUGUGUGUGUCCGUGUGGGCCCCGAGUGUGUCUGUGUGGCCCUGGGUGUGUGUGUCCGUGUGGGCCCCGAGUGUGUCUGUGUGGCCCUGGGUGCGUGCAUCCGUGUGGGCCCCAGGUGUGUGCAUGUGUGUGUCUGUGUGGGCCCUGGGUACCUGUGUGUGUGGGCCCCAAGUGUGUCUGUGUGGCCCUGGGUGCGUGCGUCCGUGUGGGCCCCAGGUGUGUGCAUGUGUGUGUCUGUGUGGGCCCUGGGUACCUGUGUGUGUGGGCCCUGAGUGUGUCUGUGUGGCCCUGGGUGCCUGCGUGUGUGGGACCCAGGUGUGUUUGUGUGGGACCCAGGUGUGUGUAUCUGUGUGGGACCCAGGUGUGUGUGUCUGUGUGGGCCCCAGGUGCCUGCGUGUGGGAGUCAGGUGUGUGCGUCUGUGUGGGCCCCGCGAGUGUGUGUGGGCCCCAGGCAUAUCUGUGUGGCCCUGGGUGUGCAUGUGGGGAGGGGGCCCGGGUGUGUGUGUGUGGCCCCAGGUGCCUGUGUGUGUGGGCCCUGGGUAUGUGUGUCUGUGUGGGCCCUGGGUGUGUGUGUGUUGGGGGGGCCCGGGUGUGUGUGUCUGUGUGGCCCCGGGUGUGUGUGUCUGUGUGGGUCCCAGGUGUGUGCGUCUGUGUGGGCCCCGGGCAUAUCUGUGUGGCCCCGGGUAUGUCUGUGUGGGCCCUGAGUGUGUCUGGCCCCGGGUGCCUGCGUGUGUGGGCCCCAGGUGUGUGUGUCUGUGUGGCCCCAGGUGUGUGUGUCUGUGUGGGCCCAGGCGUAUCUGUGUGGCCCCGGGUAUGUCUGUGUGGGCCCUGAGUGUGUCUGGCCCCGGGUGCCUGUGUAUGUGGGCCCCAGGUGUGUAUGUCCGUGUGGCCCCGGGUGUAUGUGUCCAUGUGGGCCCCGGGUGUGUGCAUGUGUGUGUCUGUGUGGGCCCUGGGUGUGUGCAUGUGUGUAGGGGGAGGGCCCGGGUGUGUGUGUGUGGCCCUGGGUGCCUGCGUGUGUAG